AGUUGUAGUAAAACAUACAUAUUUAUUAUUUUAAUUAAGUGUGCAUUUUAAUGAGAUUACAUUCAGUGAGUAUGUACAUUCAUGAUGCUGUGUCAAUAAUGAGAAAAAUCUCAAUUCAUAAUCUAGCUUCCACCUUGGGCAAUGAAAGAAAAACAGCAGUGUAAUAUAAAAUGGAGGAAAAAUAAAUAAUGACUGCAGAAAUUAAUGGAAUAAAAAAACAGGAAAUCAUCAGAGAAAAUCAACAAAACCAAAAGCCAGUUCUUUGAAAAGGUCAGUGACAUUGAUAAACCUCUACCUCAUCUAACCACAAAGGAAAGAAGGACGUCACAAUGUACUAAUAAUAUCGGUUUAAGAGGAGUGAAAUCAAAAAAUAAUAAAUAAAAAGGAAAUAUUCUGAACACAUCUGUGCUCACACUUGGACACAUUAUAUGAAAUGAGCUAACUUUUUGGAUCUAUUUUAGAAGGUUAAAAGUCCUCUCAGGAUAAACGGAUCAUCUGAAGAGGCCUAUAUUUCUCUUAAAAAUUGAAUCAAUAAUUAAUAUCUUCUCAAAAAAACAAAAACAAAAACACUACCUUCAGAUGAUUUCACCGGUAAAACCUACCAAAAUUCUUACAAAGAAACAUGCAGUCUUACCAUACAAGCAAGUAAUCAUAAUUUUAGUAUUUCCUUACAAUUUAAAAA